rnacentral:rRNA from 1 species
AAAGGUGUGACGCAUACCGAACUAAAGUAGGGAAAUGUGUGAGCCGGCUGCCGAGAAAAGCCGCUAUUGUUUGUACUGUACCCGUACCGUAAACCGACACAGGUGGAUGAGGAGAGAAUCCUAAGGCCGACGGAAGAAGCAUUGCUAAGGAACUCGGCAAAAUGACCCUGUAACUUCGGGAGAAAGGGUGCCUCGAAAGAGGCCGCAGAGAAUAGGCCCAAGCAACUGUUUAGCAAAAACACAGGUCUAUGCAAAACCGCAAGGUGAAGUAUAUGGGCUGACGCCUGCCCGGUGCUGGAAGGUUAAGGGGAGAUGUCAGGAGACGAAGCAUCGAACUUAAGCCCCAGUAAACGGCGGCCGUAACAAUAACGGUCCUAAGGUAGCGAAAUUCCUUGUCGGGUAAGUUCCGACCCGCACGAAAGGCGUAAUGAUUUGGGCGCUGUCUCGGCAAUGCAUCCGGUGAAAUUGAGGUGCCAGUGAAGAUGCUGGCUACCCGCGCCAGGACGGAAAGACCCCAUGGAGCUUUACUCCAGCUUGAUACUGGGAUUCGGUAUUGUAUGUACAGGAUAGGUGGGAGGCUGAGAAAUGGUGACGCCAGUCGCCAUGGAGCCGCUGUUGGGAUACCACCCUUGCAGUACUGGAUUUCUAACCAGCAGCCGUGAUCCGGCUGGGGGACAAUGUCAGGUGGGGAGUUUGACUGGGGCGGUCGCCUCCGAAAGGGUAUCGGAGGCGCUCAAAGGUUCCCUCAGAAUGGUCGGAAACCAUUCGAAGAGUGCAAAGGCAGAAGGGAGCUUGACUGCGACACCGACGGGUGGGGCAGGUACGAAAGUAGGACUUAGUGAUCCGGUGGUAUUAAGUGGGAAUGCCAUCGUUCAACGGAUAAAAGCUACCCUUGGGAUAACAGGCUUAUCACUCCCAAGAGUUCACAUCGACGGAGUGGUUUGGCACCUCGAUGUCGGCUCAUCGCAUCCUGGGGCUGUAGUAGGUCCCAAGGGUUGGGCUGUUCGCCCAUUAAAGCGGUACGCGAGCUGGGUUCAGAACGUCGUGAGACAGUUCGGUCCCUAUCCGGCGUGGGCGUAGGAUAUUUGAGAGGAGCUGACCUUAGUACGAGAGGACCGGGUUGGACUGACCUCUGGUGCACCGGUUGUCAUGCCAAUGGCACAGCCGGGUAGCCAAGUCGGGAAGGGAUAAACGCUGAAGGCAUCUAAGCGUGAAGCCCCCCUCAAGAUGAGAUAUCCCCCGCAUAAGCGGUAAGACCCCUUGAAGACGACGAGGUAGAUAGGGCAGAGGUGGAAGUGCAGUAAUGUAUGGAGCUGACUGCUACUAAUAGGUCGAAGGCUUAACAU